GAGUAUAAUUAAAGAGGUUUUAGGAACACAGUCAAAUCAGGUUCCUGUACAAGUUGAGAGGUCUGGGCUGCAAAUCUGAGGUCCAAACUCCAUUCCUGGAUGGCUGCGUGGAAGGUCUGCCAGGUGUGUCUGUGCACCACCUGUGUGCCUGGUGCCCACACAGGCCAGAAGAGGAUGUCAGAUGCCUGGAACUGGAGGUCCAGAUCAUUGUGAGCUGCCCAUGUUCCUGCAGCAGUGGUGCUGGUGGCCAGGGUCUGGACCAGAUUGCAAGGAUCGAGGAAUGCUUACGCAAAGCAAAGCGGGAGAACAGACCAGAAACACAUUGCUAAGACUGCCAGUGAGCCUCAUCAGCGAGGGUGCCCAAGGUCCCCAACUAUUAAACACACUUCUAAGCCGGUGA